rnacentral:rRNA from 1 species
GAUUAUGGCUCAGGAUGAACGCUAGCGGCAGGCUUAACACAUGCAAGUCGAGGGGCAUCGCGGGUAGCAAUACCUGGCGGCGACCGGCGAAAGGGUGAGUAACGCGUGAGCAACAUGCCCGACACAGGAGGAUAGUCGAUGGAAACGUCGCGUAAUACUCCAUAACAACAUGGAUCGCAUGGUUCGUGUUUGAAAGAUUCAUUGGUGUCGGAUUGGCUCGCGUACCAUUAGCUAGUUGGCGGGUAACGGCCCACCAAGGCGACGAUGGUUAGGGGUUCUGAGAGGAAGGUCCCCACAUUGGAAUUGAGACACGGUCCAGACUCCUACGGGAGGCAGCAGUGAGGAAUAUUGGUCAAUGGCCGAGAGGCUGAACCAGCCAUGCCGCGUGCCGGGAGGACGGCCCUAUGGGUUGUAAACCGCUUUUGUAGGGGAGCAAUAAGGUCCACGUGUGGGCCGAUGAGAGUACCCUGCGAAUAAGCAUCGGCUAACUCCGUGCCAGCCGCAGC